GGAUGAACGCUGGCGGCGUGCCUAAUACAUGCAAGUCGAGCGAACGGACGAGAAGCUUGCUUCUCUGAUGUUAGCGGCGGACGGGUGAGUAACACGUGGAUAACCUACCUAUAAGACUGGGAUAACUUCGGGAAACCGGAGCUAAUACCGGAUGAUAUUUUGAACCGCAUGGUUCAAAAGUGAAAGACGGUCUUGCUGUCACUUAUAGAUGGAUCCGCGCUGCAUUAGCUAGUUGGUAAGGUAACGGCUUACCAAGGCAACGA
rnacentral:rRNA from 1 species